GGUGCUAACUUACUAUUAGUGAAUGACAGGAUAAUACAGCUUAUUAGCGCACCUCAUCAACGCUUCUUCAUUUUUCAGGCACCGAGUUCUUGAGUCUAACCCUAGAGUCACUGCUCACAACUGAAAAAACCCCCAAUUCUCUAUCUUCCUCUCUCAUCUAUUCACUUUCUCCAUCAAUCUGCCUCUGCAACCGUCACCAUCGCACAUAUCGCCGGAUUCCUUGUACACCGACGCCGGCGCAAAUUCCUCUAUAUUGUCCUUCCAGCAAAAUGAUGUUGAUUGUGGAUAAGAUGUGAUGCAAUUCAGGAAAAAAAUCAAUUCACAUAAGCCCCUUAAACUUGUUGAACUUGUAACUUUGUGGUGGUGCGUGUAGGUAUUGGCAGCAGCGCCAGUUUGGUGGUGAUCAGACUAUUGUAAGUGAAUUGGACUCCUAGUGAUAGUGAAUGUGAAGAAUUAGACUGGGAAGAAGAGCAUAUUAGGUGACAUCCAAUGACUCUGGUGUUUGUAUUCAACCACCGCUACAACCAUUGUGCGAUCAAAUUAAACACUCUAGGGAACGAGAGUUUGAAGGAAUGAGGAAUCAAAUCGAGGAAUACACAUCAUAGAGGCAGAGGAGCAUAACCUUGCAAUCAGGGAAUAAGAAGCAAAUGCCACCUUGAAGGGACAAUAUAUGGAUAAACUUGAGGAAUAUAAAAAGGAGUUGAGAUAAACCCCGACAAAGUCUACUUGAAGGUUGUAGGUGGGCAAAAGAAUAGAAAAGUUUAUGGUUUAGGGAGUGCUUCACAAAUUUACUACAAGAACGAUCCUACUUCUCACCUUACUGCAUAAUGUAUAUCAUCAUUAGUUCUUAUUUGUCAUGUUAGAGUUGAUUUUUGAAACAAUUAGUGUUAUGGUUACUAAUAUUGUUUUCUAAUAUAUUGAUACAAAAUUGAUGAUGAUA